rnacentral:rRNA from 1 species
CCUACGGGCGGCAGCAGUGGGGAAUAUUGGGCAAUGGGCGCAAGCCUGACCCAGCAACGCCGCGUGAAGGAAGAAGGCUUUCGGGUUGUAAACUUCUUUUCUCAGGGACGAAGAAAGUGACGGUACCUGAGGAAUAAGCCACGGCUAACUACGUGCCAGCAGCCGCGGUAAUACGUAGGUGGCAAGCGUUAUCCGGAUUUAUUGGGUGUAAAGGGCGUGUAGGCGGGAGCGCAAGUCAGAUGUGAAAACUCAGGGCUCAACCUGUGGCCUGCGUUUGAAACUGUUUUUCUUGAGUACUGGGGAGGCAGACGGAAUUCCUAGUGUAGCGGUGAAAUGCGUAGAUAUUAGGAGGAACACCAGUGGCGAAGGCGGUCUGCGGGACAGCAACUGACGCUGAGGCGCGAAGGCGUGGGGAGCAAACAGGAUUAGAUACCCUUGUAGUC